UAAAAACACCUACAGCUGUGUGGUGAACAAUCCUGUCAGCACCCAGACCAAACAUCUGGACAUCGAUCAACUCUGUCAGACAUGUUCAGACUGUGACAAUUGGAGUCAAAAGGAGCUGUGAUCCGAUUGGUUGCCUCUGCUGUGGUGGAUGUGACACUUUAUGAUGCAGUGUUUCCUAACCUUUUUUCUGCCACGGCAUAGAAGUAAAAAAUCCCACAGCACACCACUAAGCACAAAAAAAAAAAAACAUAUAAUAAUAAUAAAAAA